ACCUGCUUCAGCCUCCCAGAGUGCUAGGACUACAGAACACCAGCACCUCCACAGACAGAGGCUUCCUGCAGCACCAGGCCCACAGGCACCCUCAGCCCGGAAGUCUCAGGCCAGCCUGCCACCUCCCCGUCCAGCUACCCUGCAGCCCUCCUCGCCCCGAGCCCCCUGCUCGUCUCGCUCAGCCUCAUCCUGGUGCUGAGGAGGAGGGCCUGCUAUGGGGAGCUCAGUCUGGGGGGCCUGAAGCCCCACCCCCAGAGUAGGAGUGCACUGUGGCCUCUCCAGACAGGCAAGUGGAUGUCCAACUGCCCUGCCCCCCGGUGUUUACUCGGUGGUGGGCUCUGCCCCUCUGGCCAGCAAGGCCUCAUGUAACCAUUGCCCAGGGAGCAUUGGUGGCAGUGUCCAGGUGGUGAGGGCAGCAGCCGGGUGGUCAGGCAGGCUCCUCCAAACAGGCCCCUCAGCCCGCCCAUUCCCGGCUGCCUCCCACAACCCUGGAAAUGAAGCUUGGGGCUGACAGACACCCGCAGGAGGCUGGGAGAACUGGAACAGAAAUGCAGAUGUGGGGGGAUCUUGGUUCUCCCCCUAUCUCCUGGGACACGGGGACCCAUUCAGUGGCACCUCCAGGUCCCGGAAGAGGCGUGGGACACGUGUGGACCAACUCGGUCUCCUCUGUGUCUCCUGGCCUUUGCCCCCUCCGCCCCAGGGCCAGGUGGGCGUGCCGAGGUGGGCAGUGCUGUCCUGGGUGUGUUCAGCUGUUCCCAACUCCCGGCUUUGGCUCCCUGUGCUCUACCUCCAGGUGGCCCUCACACUGCUGCUCCCUCCACUGAAACUCCAAACCUCUCGUCCCCCACCUUCACCACACGCCAGGGCUUCCACAGACAGUGCUCCAUCCUGAAGGGUGAAUCUUAUGCUCUUGCACUCCUCACCUGCCCGGGAAUCCAGAGCCAGAGAGGGCGAGGCACCAGCCACGGUCACACAGCGAGGGAGGCUUCUCCCCUCCCGGGACACCUAAAGACUAGACUCUCAGGGCUGGGACGGGGGUGGGUGGGGGAAGCAAUGCCUUGUCACCUGUGCUGGGAAGACGGGCUCCCUACCCUACCCGCAAGGUGCAUAAAGUUGGGGAAAACCCGUGCUUACUCGGGCCAGGCCUGUUCCACGUGCUUCACACGCUCACACAAGCCUCCCCCUCUGGCUCAGAUAGCUGCUCACAGAGGAGGAGACUGCAGCCAGGAGCCCCUGCCCCUGCGCACACGCGGAGGACUGAGAAGGGGGCAGGCGGGAGGAAGCGCAAGGUCCAAUCCUGCACGUGCAUGUCCACACACGGCACCUCGGCGGUCAGGCGUGGGGGCCUCAGCAGGUGGAGCGCAGCCCCCAUAGGUGCCUGCAUCCCUGUGGAAGGGCCAAUCCCCCUCCAUCAAGAGGCUGGGGCAAAGGCGCCUUUCUGCUAGCCUGGCCUGGAAGGGCUGGAGGCAUCAUCCAGCUUAAGAGAAACUCUGGUCCUUUGGGGUAUGGAAAAGUUAGAGGGCAAUCUGAAGUUGGUAAAAAAAUUGCUUCUAUUUCUAAACAUUAGACAGUCAUCCAGUGUGAAGAGAUGAGAGCGCCCCAGAGUAGAGCCCACAGGAGGAGGAAGACUACCUGGGGUCAAGGGUGGGGAGGAGGACUGCCGGGGACAGUCAGCCUCAGACCAGGCACAAGACAGGCUCCCAGGGCAGGCCGUCCUGGCUAGAGAGGUCUGGGACCGAGGCCAACCCCUGCAGCCCCUCACUGGCCUAGGGGAGGGGUUAUAGGGGCAGGCCUGGCAAUCUCCUGGGGGACACGGGUAGGCAAAGGCCUUAACCUAGAAAGCUCCAGCAGCUCCUAGGCCCACCAGGACACAAGAGAGAUUUGGUGGUGGUAGAACUCAGGGAUGGUUUUUGAAGCCAUGACCUAAAAGGGAAGGAGUCGGGCAUGGUCCUGCCCAAAGGCUCCCCUGCCUGCAGAGAGCCAGCAGGCUCAGUGCAGGGACCCCCAGGAGCCCAAACCAUGAGCUUACUGGGUGAAGUCAGCAGCCAGCACCAAGCUGCCAAAGAGUCAGCAGAAAGAUCACGUAGGGUUGACCACAGCUGGUAGCAGGUUCCUCUGUGCCUCUGUAAAAUACAGGCCUCUCAUUCCUGGCCCUGAAGGGCUGCUGCCCCAACAUCAGCACCCUGAAGACUAGCCUGAUACAUGCACAGGUCCCAGGUCAGCCCCAUGCUCCCAGUACCCACAGAUAAGGACUAGAGCCAGGGCAGCCAAGGUGUAGGACAAGGUCCCUGGGAGACGCUCCUCAGGCUGUUGUGAUUCCUGAAACAUCCCCAUUAGGUCCUCUCUUCUCGCAGAGGAAAGGACAUACCAGCCUUGUCCUCUCCAGCCACCUAUGCUACCACCGGGGCCGCUGCAGGUGUCAGGGAGAGAACCGGGUGGGACAACGCCACAGCUCUGAGGCUGAGGCUGGCCAGGUGGGCUGCAGGAGACCCCUCCCUCUCCAGGCUUUGGUUUCCCGGCCCCCUGCAAACCAGGCUACUUGAAGCUUUGCCUGAGGCCUUGCGCAAAGAUGUAGUUCAGACUCAGUGAACACAGCAGGCUUUAAGGAGGUGGCACACACCUGGUCAGCGAGGGCACAAGGAAGAGAACCCACAGCAUGGGGACAAGUUCCAGAGCCCACCUCCAACCAUCUCAGGAGGCCCCUGCCAGCGUCAACGGGCUUGUUUAGUUGUCACAGCAACCCUCGCAUGGAGCCGCCCUAUUCUCCAGAUGAAUGAACAGAGGCUCAGAGACUCUCGUCUCACAGCGGGGCCGGGGCGCAGACCCAGGUGUCCUCGUUCUUCUGAUGUGGCCUCGAGGGAAGUGCUGGACUCUCAGUAACACACCAGCGUGUGGCAGGGACAAGGUACUCGAGGGAGGGAGGGGGACGGAAGGAAAGACAGCCUGAGCCCCUGGGCGGUGAUGGGCUGCCCAGGGCCGGUGAGCCGGGCCCAGCACAGCUGCCCUCUGCGCAGUCCUCUCCUCACAGGAGCAGCCUCGAGCGACUCCAGCUCUGCCCUCAGCUUUCUGUGCACACACGGCCCAAGCCCUAUUCUUCAGGUUGUAGGUUUGAGAGUGCUGAUGACGUGACAGUGGACUUGAAGCCAGGCUUCCAGCCCACCCAUGUCCCUUUCAGUUCCCGGAGCUCCAGCCCCACCCAGGGAUUUCUACUCAGACCCUGCUUGGCAUGUGUUCUCGCAACUUCUAUUAAUACUGGUUUCCAAGGCACUGUUCGGGCAUCGCCUCUUCUGGUACUCAAGGACGCCUCCCUCGAGCUUCCACAGCAGCCUCCCCCCAGGCUGUCACUGCAGGGCGAGUGUGCCGUGGCUGCCUAUCCCCUCACAGGCCAGGUAGCUCUUCCCGCAGUGUACAGCACUUCAACCCCUGGCUUAGUGCAAGGCUAGGCUGGCACAGGAGGGACAGUGUGGGCCCAGUGAAUACCCACCCAGAUGCUGGGUAGACCUAACAAGCCCUCUUGUGAGGGCUGGCCUGCCUACGUGGAGUGGGAAACCAGACCCAGGAUGCCACCACCCCGGCUGCCCUGAGAACAAAUCUGCUGAUAGAGCCCAGUGAGAGCAGGGCUCUGGAGGGGUUGCCCAGUGGCCCACCACCUAAGGUCACUGGGAUGCGUGGUCACCAGCAUGAGGGGGUGACAGUUCCAGCCAGAUUGAGAGGGCAUGUUUUUGGUCCUGGGAGAGGGACAAGUGGCGGUGUCUGGUGAUCAGCAUCUCUCGCAGGGCAGUAGGCCACUGACCAACCCCCACCAGGACCCACAGGCCAGAGCCAGCCAGCACAGCGAUACUCGAGACACUUCGCACCUCCUAGGCUGGGACAGGGAAAGGCCAGGCACAGAGUGACGCAGGAUUAACCCACCUCCCACAAACACAGCCAGGCCCCCAUUCCAAAAACCCGGAUGCUUUAAUGGCCUGCCUCCAGGGCCCACAGGCUCUUCACAAACCCGUAAGGCCAACCACCCUCAUGUCAGCCCCUGGCUCAGUCAACACUCCACAGACAAGUGGUCCACAGCAAGCCUGCCAAGCUCUGGCUUGUGGAGUGCCACGGUCUCAUCAUGAUCUUCGGAGACCUCCUAGGACUGAGCUGCCACUCAGCCUGCCUGCUCCAGUCCCUGAGUCCCUGCAGCUGCCAGGCUUCCAGAAACACAAGUUUCCAGGGAUAGUGCAUGGAAUGGAAGAGGCA